GGAUGUGAUGGUGGUCUCGCUAAGACAUUUGUCACCCCAUUGAUUGCCCAGUUGAUUCAGCUGAUCUGACUGGCUAGGUGGGUGUCCCCUUCCUCUCUUACUGCUUCAUGUUCAUCCCUCCCAAAGCUGCAUGCUCCACUAAAGAUGACAAUCUUCCCUGAAUAGAGACAGACCAGUCUUCAGUCUAGGGCAUAUGAGUAGCUGCGAUCCCCUGCUAGAACCCAGAAACAAGUUCUCAAAAAACCCAUAAUUUGGAAAAGCUAAUAGGUCUAUUUUA
rnacentral:snRNA from 1 species